rnacentral:rRNA from 1 species
CCUACGGGAGGCAGCAGUGGGGAAUAUUGCACAAUGGGGGAAACCCUGAUGCAGCGACGCCGCGUGAGUGAAGAAGUAUUUCGGUAUGUAAAGCUCUAUCAGCAGGGAAGAAGAAAGACGGUACCUGACUAAGAAGCCCCGGCUAACGACGUGCCAGCAGCCGCGGUAAUACGUAGGGGGCAAGCGUUAUCCGGAUUUACUGGGUGUAACGGGAGCGUAGACGGCUGUGCAAGUCUGAAGUGAAAGCCCAGGGCUCAACCCUGGGACUGCUUUGGAAACUGUGGAGCUAGAGUGCUGGAGAGGUAGGCGGAAUGCCUGGUGUAGCGGUGAAAUGCGUAGAUAUUAGGAGGAACACCAGUGGCGAAGGCGGCCUACUGGACGGUGACUGACGCUGAGGCUCGAAAGCGUGGGGAGCAAACAGGAUUAGAUACCCUUGUAGUC